GUCUUAUUGAUUAUAAUUUUAAGUCUAAUCUGCCCCAUGAAAUUUUUAAUGGCUGCAGUAUUUUAACUGUACAAAGGUAGCAUAAUAAUUAGUCUCUUAAUUAGAGACUAGAAUGAAUGAUUGAACGAGAUAAUAACUGUCUCUAUUUAAUUUUUAGAAUUUUAUUUUUAAGUUAAAAAGCUUAAAUAAUUUUAAAAGACGAGAAGACCCUAUAGAGUUUAAUAUUUUAGAUAAUUUAUUUUUUAGAUAAUUUAUUAAUAGAUUUUUUUAAAAAUAUUUAAUUGGGGUGAUUAAAAAAUUAAAUUAACUUUUUUUAUUUGUUAACAUAAAUUAAUGAUUAAUUGAUCCAAUUUUAUUGAUUAUAAGAUUAAAUUACCUUAGGGAUAACAGCGUAAUUUUUUUAGAGAGUUCAUAUCGAAAAAAAAGAUUGCGACCUCGAUGUUGGAUUAAAAUUAAUUUUUGGCGUAGAAGUUAGAAAAUUAGGUCUGUUCGACCUUUAAAAUUUUACAUGAUCUGAGUUUAAAUCGGCGUGAGCCAGGUUGGUUUCUAUCUUUAAAAAUUUAAAAUAUUUUAGUACGAAAGGACCAAAUAUUUAUAAAAAUUAUUAAUUUUAUGAAUAAUAUUAAUUGUUACUUUGGCAGAAUAGUGCUUUAAAUUUAGAAUUUAAAUAUGUAUUUUAUACAAGUAAUAU
rnacentral:misc_RNA from 1 species